rnacentral:rRNA from 1 species
AUUGAACGCUGGCGGCAGGCUUAACACAUGCAAGUCGAGCGGGGUGAUGGUGCUUGCACUAUCACUUAGCGGCGGACGGGUGAGUAAUGCUUAGGAAUCUGCCUAUUAGUGGGGGACAACAUCUCGGAAGGGAUGCUAAUACCGCAUACGUCCUACGGGAGAAAGCAGGGGAUCACUUGUGACCUUGCGCUAAUAGAUGAGCCUAAGUCGGAUUAGCUAGUUGGUGGGGUAAAGGCCUACCAAGGCGACGAUCUGUAGCGGGUCUGAGAGGAUGAUCCGGCACACUGGGACUGAGACACGGGCCAGACUCCUACGGGAGGCAGCAGUGGGGAAUAUUGGACAAUGGGGGGAACCCUGAUCCAGCCAUGCCGCGUGUGUGAAGAAGGCCUUAUGGUUGUAAAGCACUUUAAGCGAGGAGGAGGCUCUUUUGGUUAAUACCCAAGAUGAGUGGACGUUACUCGCAGAAUAAGCACCGGCUAACUCUGUGCCAGCCGCCGCCGUAA